AGGUAAGUGCCCAUGUGCCUGGACAGACUCCUCCAGCAGUGUCCUGGACACAGGACCAUCAGGCACAGGCUGGAAUUUGGUCCCUCUUUCUUUGGGGAUGAACUACGGCAGCAAAGGGAGAAUUUCCAGGGGUAUCACAACUGAUGCUGGUUGUGCUGCUCUUUUGUAGGAGGAAACCCACCCUGUUCCGCUCUGCGUGCUAAAUUAGAAGUAUGAGAGUUUCUUGUACAUGCAGCUUGUUGUCUUGUGUUUGUGUGGAAUGAAAGGCUGCAGAAGGGAGAGAUGGGCUCAGGAAAUGAAGCACUGGGUCUGAGUCCUGUGCCUGGGGAAAUCCAUUAUUUGCUGGGUUUAAUAGGAUGCUUACAGAUUAAUCAGUCACCACAGAGGCUGUGAAACAUAUGCCAAAUAUUCUCCUUCCACUUUGGUGCCACCCUAUUUACAAAGCAAGGGAAAUAAUCUCUUCUGUGGUAUCUGCCACCCCUGCAUUCCUUUAGGAAGCACUCACAGCAGCUGUUGUCUUCCGAAUACCAGGCACCAAGGCCCAAGACUACUCCCAUUACUACACAAUUGGAGUUUGCUCCCUUAUCGGCCCCUUUCUGCUGUUCCUGCUCCUCCGCAUAUGGCGGCGAGGUGCAUUGCGGAAGAUGAGAACCGUUACACAGCAGCAGGCCUCAAACACAGAGGAUAUCCACAUGGAAAACACCGUGGUAAGGGACGUGGCAACAAUUUAUGCCACAGUUGGAGAAGACUUUGAAGAGACAAAACCAAGAGCAUUACCAGAGACUCUCUACACAUCCGUAAACUUCCCUCAACUGCCCUCUGCUUCGGCUCCGAACUUUGCAGGAGAUAGAUGUGCAGCAGAGCCAAGGUGAUGCUGUUGCCACUCCGUCCCUUGUGAUCAGACCUUUGGUGAGUCCCCUCCUGCCCAUGGAGUGUUGUUUAAGUGCUUGGAGCAACAGAUUAUGGAAAUGCAUUAGUUUGCCUCAAACUGCAGUUUCUCUUGAAUUUGAGGAAUGAUCUGCUUUUAGUUUCCUCUUGAGAUUUCCGGAGAUCACAGAGACUCUGAACACAAGAGAAAGGUGCCUAAAGCAAAAGCAAAACAACAGUUCACCCAUGAGAAGCUCGCUUCCAGAGACAUGCCUUAAUUUGAGGGGUAAUGGAGAGCACUGAAUGUAUUUCAGUCGUGCAUCCCGGGGUCCCUUACCAAUUGCUUGUCGUAUUAAAAGAAUGUACAAAGCUCU